GGUGCUGUGGCUCAAAGGUUAGAGCACUUGCCUUGAGCUUAAGACCUCAGGGACAGCACCC
rnacentral:tRNA from 1 species